CCUACGGUGUGCAGUAGUGGGGAAUAUUGCACAAUGGGCGAAAGCCUGAUGCAGCAACGCCGCGUGAGCGAUGAAGGCCUUCGGGUCGUAAAGCUCUGUCCUCAAGGAAGAUAAUGACGGUACUUGCGUAGGACGCCCCGGCUACCUACGUGCCAGCAGCCGCGGUCCUACGUAGGGGGCUAGCGUUAUCCGGAAUUACUGGGCGUAACGGGUGCGUAGGUGGUUUCUUAAGUCAGGGGUGAAAGGCUACGGCUCAACCGUAGUAAGCCUUUGAAACUGGGGAACUUGAGUGCAGGAGAGGAGAGUGGAAUUCCUAGUGUAGCGGUGAAAUGCGUAGAUAUUAGGAGGAAAACCAGUUGCGAAGGCGGCUCUCUGGACUGUAACUGACACUGAGGCACGAAAGCGUGGGGAGCAAAAAGGAUUAGAUACCCUGUAGUC
rnacentral:rRNA from 1 species